rnacentral:misc_RNA from 1 species
CAGCCAUCAUCACGUACAGCACACGAAGAAAUUACGAAGGAGACGCCAGCUGUAAGGACGCACUGCUCCCCGCACGCACGCACAGAGAGCGUAAAGGUAGACAGCGACCCUUAGAAGCCGUGCAGCGUCACUCCCGCUGAUCGGGCUCUACUUCUAAAAAAAAAAAAACUAUCGCUCAUUGUUGCCGACGCCGCAGCCAUGACCGCCACAAUCCUUCGCACGAACUACGCCCUACUUCUCUUUUAUGUGCGAGAGAAGUACUGGCACCAUGCGGAGGAGGUGUGCAUGUCCGUCAUCCAGUCCACGGAUGAUCACAUGUUCCGUGUGUGGCGGGCGCUGACGCUGGAUCGGCAAGGCAUGACGAACGAUGCCAUUCGCGAGUACAAGACUGUCGAGUCGCGCCGCGCCACCGCCGUGCCGGCGCUCAUGGGCAUGCAACUCAUUUACAGGAAUAACCGCGAUCAGGAAGGCGUGGCGCAGACGGAGGCGAAGCUCGACGGCUUCGAAGUGGCUGACAACAUGGGUGGCUGGGUGCAGGCGGCGGCUUUGUGCUGGGCCGCUGGGGACAUCAACGCAGCCAGAGACAUCCUGCUCAAGUUCACGGACAACGAGGCGGCGAUGGCAUACCGGGACGAGUACACGAACUACGGCACCAUCCGCGGCUGGGUAGAUCUGCUGUCGGGCCGCGGUGCGCUGCUGGAGAAGGCUGGCGCGCUGUUCUCCAGCAUGCUGGAGAUGGAGGAGGCGCAGUACUCGUUUUUUCAGUCUAGCAAUGAGGCCGGCGGCGGUGGGAGCGGCACCACCAAGUGGACCGACAUGAACGCCGCGCUUGGCUACGUGGCCUUCCUCGAGCAUAAGACGCAGUUGAUGAAGGCGCAGAGCCUGCUGGACCGCCUUGUCGUCCUUUAUCCGAACUGCAGCAUCCCCCCACUGGUGGGCAAGGCGCGCCUGCUCAUGCAGGCCGAUGACUGGGAGCAGGCGAUAGAGGUGACUCACCGCAUCCUCGCCCACGACAAGGGCAAUGUCGAGGCCCUCGCACUCGAGGCGCUCUACGCGAUUGGAAAGGACACCCGCCAAGACGCCGCACAGGUGCGGUUACGCCGUCUGCUCGACGCCGUCCGGGCCAAGGAGCCGCGCAACGUGGCACUGCUGCACCAAUUCGCGCUCGUCUUCUCUCGCCUGGCUGGUGGUCGGCUGGAUCUGUUAAACAUCACCACGCAGUUUUCGGAGAUGGCGUAUGCGCUGGAUAGCCGCAACGGCGAUGUGCUCUGCGGGUUGGGGUACCAGCAGCUGUACCGGCAUGACUACAAGACCGCCGUGGCGACUUUCCGCAAGGCCGCAACGCUGACGGACAGCCUGGGCCCGCUCCUAGGGACCGUGACGUGCCUCUUGCACCAGGGCGACGUGGAGGAGGCGGCGGCGCAGCUACAAUUUUGUAAUCAGCUGCAGCCGGCUGCGCAGCGCAACGCGGAGCUCAGCAUGCUGAACGCGCAGCUGCGGUGGCGCCUGCGCGGCAUGGAAGAGGAGACAGCGGUGUUACGGUAUCUGGAUCAGGCAGCCGAGGCGAUCAAGCAAGACGUCAAGGAGCGCGCGGGAUCUGGAAUGGAGGUGUAUGUGCACCUCAACGCCCCCGUUGCGCUCGUCAUCGCCCAUGCCUACCUCAUGCACUGCCGCAACGAACCACCGGACCCGAUGUUCAAGCACACGGACGUGGUCAGCGAGAAGUGUGGGCGCCAUCUCGAGUUCGUCGUGCAGCACCUGCCAGCCUGCAUGGAGGCGCAGCUGAUGCUGGCCAAGGUGUGGUUCGUCAGAGGUGACGUGCGCAAGGCUCAGAACCUGCUCAAGAACACGCUUCUCAUGCAGGAGCAGCCGCUGCCGGACGCCUUCCUGCUGUCGAGCCAUAUAUGCCAGUACAUGGGGGAUGUCAAGCUCGCCAGCCAGGCCUUGGAGCGCGCGCUGACUCUAGACUUUUCCCUACAGGAGCAGCCCCUUUAUAACCUGCUACUCGGCACAGUGCAAGGCACCACGGGCAAGUACGCGGAGGCUCUCGCGUCGUUGCAGCGCGCCUACAGCACCGUGAAGAGCGCGGCCGCCGCUUCCUCCGCGGGAAAGCCAACGAAUCUGCUCAGCGUGCCGGAGACAGUAACUCUGUACCUACAGCUGGCGCAGGCGCAGCUGCGCGUGCGCGACGUGGAAGCGGCGCGCGCGACACUGGCGGAGGCAGCUCUCCAGUUCCGAGACUCAGCGCAGAUAGGGCGCGUAGUCAUUGCGCAGGCGAUGCUGGCCGCGCGCACAGAUGUCGAUAAAGGCAUCGAGCUGCUGCGGCAGGUGCCGAGCAAGAGCGAGUUCUACACGGCCGCCCACUCGCAGCUGGGCAAGCUCUUCCUCACACAGAAGCACAACUUGGGCAUGUACAUUCAGUGCUUCCAGGAGAUGGCCGAGGCGGUUCCGUCCGCGCAGAGCUACGUUGCGCUUGGCGAAGCCUACACAGUAAUUCAGGAGCCAGAGCAGGCGAUCGCGGCGUACGAGAAGGCCAGGGCGCUCUCUCCAUCCAGCAGCGAGCUGUCUGUGCGCGUUGGCCGCGCUCUCGUCGCGGCGCACGACUACGCCAAAGCAAUCCGGUACUACCAGGACGCGCUCAUGUCCGACCCGCACCUCUCCAUCGUGCGGGCCGACCUCGCCACGCUGCAGUGGCGGCUGGGCCGCAUAGACGCGGCGCGCGAGACUAUCGUGAUGUCCCCCGUGUACGAGCUUCCUUCCACAAACGGCGCCGGUGCAGGUGUGGCGUCCGCAGCAGCGGCGGGGUCUGCGGAAACGGUAGGGACGGCGAUUGAGCGGAUCAACCUUUACCUCCUCCUGUACAAGGUGCUGCGCGACCAGCCGUGGACGGUUCCGUUGAGCGAGCAAGGCACCGCCCACACUGGCAGCGACGGCGAUCACGGCGAUGCGGCCCUCAGGGCCCUUCUCACAGCCCGAUCGCUGCAACGGCGCCUCAUCGAGCAGCAGCUGCGUGCCGAAACGGCCGAAGUGAACGCCGAGCAGCGCGUCGUCAUGUCGGGGAUUUGCACCGAGCUAGGCGCGCGGUGCAUCUACAGCACCCCUGCGCCGCCGCCCUCCUCGGUCAUCAUGACAGACAAGAAGGUGGAGGCUGCCGCGGCGCUGGCGCUCCAGUCCGCUAUUGCGGCACGGCUGACGAACGCGCGGGAGUACCUGCGCGAGGCCAUCACGUACGAUGAGUCGAACGAGUGCGCACAGCUCGAGUCGGCGCAGCUCUGCUACCGCACCGGUGACAUGGACGGGUGCGAGCGACACUGCACGACAGUGCUGCGCAUGGCAGACGGCAGCUCGAGCAAUGCAGAUGCAGUGAUACUGCUGGCGAACCUGUACACACAGCAGGGUCGCACCGAGGACGCUCGAGACAUGUUCGAUGACCUUCUAAGGAAGACCCCCCAGCAUUACGAGGCUCUGGUCUACUACCUCAUCCUCCUCUACCACGCCGGACAGCUGACGGAGGCCAAGGACGCGCUGGGUAGGGCGGCGGCAGCCGUACCGGCGGGCCAGCGCGCCGAUCCGGGCUUGAGCUACGCACGCGGCCUCUACGAGCACCUCUGCAACAACAACGCCGAGGCGCUGCGACACUUCAACUUGGCGCGUCUGCCAACCGACAACGCGUGGUGCACGCGGGCGUUGGUGCGCAUGAUCCGAAUUUACCUCGUACCGACCACGCAGGAUCUCUGGGUGCGAGGCGCGAACCCGGCAGCGGCAGGCUUACCGCUCACUGAGCAGCAGCACCAGAAGUCAGCGCCCCAGAGCAAAGGCCCCGCAGCGGCAGCCUCGACCGGUGGUACGGAGCUGCACGACAACAUACGCUACGCAGAGCAGCUGCUGUUGCUGCUGCCGGUGCACAGCGAGGAAAGACGCAUUCUUCAGGCAUACUGCACGAUGGCGACACGACGCCCGGAGGAGCUCGAGACGGCGCUGCAUCUAUUUCUGGAGUGCAUUGUAGCUGCUGAAACCGGCGGCGUGUCCGGCGCUAGAGCGGCGUGCGGCGCGACGACUGCCGAGAAGAAAGGCAGAAGUGGCAGCGACAAAGACGCCACCAAAGCAGGGAAGAAGCCGCGGCGUGUCGGUGACAGCGACUCGGACGACGACGAGGACCUCCAGCUGCUGGCCAGCAUGCACGAGGCCGCCGCGGAGCUGGCGCAGCGCAGCAGCGGCAGCAGCACGGCCACACUCGCCUUCGCGCUGCAGUGCAAGGUGGUGCACCCGGAGGCGUUUCUCGGGCUGGCCAUCAGCCUCUUCGUUUCUGGGCAGGAGACGGCCGCGCGGAACGUGCUGGCGAGGUUGCUGGAGAGCAAGAAGGUCAUGGCAAAGAUGCCGGUGACGAAGCAGGCGGACAAGAGCAAGGGCGACGCCGCGGAGCCGCCAGCCCCGAUUACUGUCUCUCCUCCGAUCGCGAUCCUCACGUGCUCCGAGGACGACACAAUCGAACGUGCGAUGCUCUUGCAGGCGUACAUGGACACGCAGGAGGGCCAGCUCGAGAAUGCUCGGUUCGUGCUGCAGCAGGUGCUGGCGGCCAACCAGGGCUGCGGUUCCGCCUGGAACGCGCUCGGCAUGAUCUACGAGCGGAACCAGAAGCACAAGGACGCUUCGCGGUGCUAUCAGAAAGCCUGGGAACUGGUGCAGGAGUCCGACCCGGCUGUCGGAUACAAGCUGGGGUUCAACUACCUACGCGGCGGCGAGCCGGUGAAGGCGAUCGACGUGUGCAAGCGCGUGCUCGCCCACCACGCCACGUACCCGCACAUCGAGGCAGAUGUCAUGGACGUUGCCUACUCAAUGCUGCGGCCGUAACUCGGCGCGUGUGAGUGUGUGUGUGUGUGUCUUAUGUAUAUGUGUGUCUGACGACGCACCAGCCCAGCCGCACGCGUGCGUGCGUGCACCCCGGCGGAGGAAUGAACUGUGCCGCUGUAAACGUUUGUGUGUGUGUAUCUUAUGUAUAUGUGUGUCGGCCCCCCCUCCCACUCCCCAAUCGAUGUGAUCUCAAAGACAGCAGCCACGCCUGAAGUUCCUGCGUGGGGGGGGGGGGGGGCAAGAACACACACACGUGCACACACACACACACACACCUCUUGCGCGGGCAAAGAAGAUGGGAAGAGGGGACGCGCUCAUGAGAACGACGCGCACCUAUGCGAGGGCGAGGAGGCGGCACAUCUCGUGAGACCGGGCGAGUCUAUCUAUCCCGCCUUCUCUCGUGGCGCAGCUGCAGCACUCAUUGCUUUCUCUCUGUGGCAGUGGAACCGCUACGACUGGCCAGACGACGACGAAGACCACCACCACCGCCAGCCGAGUCAGGUGUUUCG